rnacentral:rRNA from 1 species
UACGGAGGAUGCGAGCGUUAUCCGGAUUUAUUGGGUUUAAAGGGUGCGCAGGCGGCACGGCAAGCCGGCGGUCAAAUCGCGGGGCUCAACCCCGCCCAGCCGUCGGAACUGCCGGGCUAGAGUGGGCGAGAAGUGCGCGGAAUGUAUGGUGUAGCGGUGAAAUGCUUAGAGAUCAUACAGAACACCGAUUGCGAAGGCAGCUUACCAAUCUAUAUCUGACGUUGAGGCACGAAAGCGUGGGGAGCAAACAGG